GAUUUCAACUGAAAACGUCAUCAACAACAAAGCUGUAUAAUCCAUCUAGAUCUACUAUUUUUAUUUGUGUCAUUUCAUAAUCUGAUAAAGUGUAGUAACAUUGUUCACAAAUUUUACAUAGCUCCCAUAUGGUUUCAUAAAUUAUAAGAGAGAUGUGUAAAUUUUGUGAACAAUGUUACUAUCACUUUAUCGGAUAAAGAAAUGACUAAAAUAAAAGUUAUAGAUAUUGAUGAGUUAUACAAAUUUUUUGUUGAUGACUUUUUCAGUUGAAAUC
rnacentral:pre_miRNA from 1 species